rnacentral:lncRNA from 1 species
GUCCCCACUAUCAUUCUUUCUGUCUCAUAUAAAGGAGUCAAAUUUAUUGAUGCGGCAAAUAAGACUCAAUCAGAAAAGCAGCUGGGGACGCACUGUGUCCUUGUGUUCACAGUGGGAAUGCUUGGCAGCUCUGAGGUCAAAUGUGGCCAAGUGGGUUGCGUUUGACUUUAUAAGGUCGUCUUAGAAUUCCCUUCUGAGCCAAGACCACAGUAUCCUACUGGUAACCUAGAAAGCUUAGGUGUGGCCACUGUCAGGGUUGGAAAAGCUGACUGGCUUCUCACAAAACCCUAAAGGUCUGUUGGAGUGUUUCACUCUCCUGUCCUUUCAACCAAUAAAGGGAAAGAUGGGGUGA